GAUGAACGCUAGCGGCAGGCCUAAUACAUGCAAGUCGAACGGUGUCUUCGGACAUAGUGGCGCACGGGUGCGUAACACGUAUGCAACCUACCUUACAUUGGGGGAUAGCCUUUCGAAAGGGAGAUUAAUACCGCAUAAGACAGUAGCUGGGCAUCCAGCAGCUGUUAAAGAUUUAUCGAUGUAAGCUGGGCAUGCGUCCAAUUAGCGAGUUGGUGCGGUAACGGCUCACCAAGUCAAUGAUUGGUAGGGGAACUGAGAGGUCAAUCCCCCACACUGGCACUGAGAUACGGACCAGACUCCUACGGGAGGCAGCAGUAGGGAAUAUUGGGCAAUGGACGCAAGUCUGACCCAGCCAUGCCGCGUGCAGGAUGAAGGCGUUAUGCGUUGUAAACUGCUUUUAUACAGGAAGAAACGACUCUUGCGAGAGGCAUUGACGGUACUGUAUGAAUAAGCACCGGCCAACUCCGUGCCAGCAGCCGCCGUAAUAC
rnacentral:rRNA from 1 species